rnacentral:rRNA from 1 species
UCCGUAGGUGAACCUGCGGAAGGAUCAUUACUGAGUGAGGGCCCUCUGGGUCCAACCUCCCACCCGUGUUUAUUGUACCUUGUUGCUUCGGCGGGCCCGCCUUUAUGGCCGCCGGGGGGCUCACGCCCCCGGGCCCGCGCCCGCCGAAGACACCUCGAACUCUGUCUGAAGAUUGUAGUCUGAGUGAAAAUAUAAAUUAUUUAAAACUUUCAACAACGGAUCUCUUGGUUCCGGCAUCGAUGAAGAACGCAGCGAAAUGCGAUACGUAAUGUGAAUUGCAGAAUUCAGUGAAUCAUCGAGUCUUUGAACGCACAUUGCGCCCCCUGGUAUUCCGGGGGGCAUGCCUGUCCGAGCGUCAUUGCUGCCCUCAAGCACGGCUUGUGUGUUGGGCCCCGUCCUCCGAUUCCGGGGGACGGGCCCGAAAGGCAGCGGCGGCACCGCGUCCGGUCCUCGAGCGUAUGGGGCUUUGUCACCCGCUCUGUAGGCCCGGCCGGCGCUUGCCGAUCAACCCAAAUUUUUAUCCAGGUUGACCUCGGAUCAGGUAGGGAUACCCGCUGAACUUAAGCAUAUCAAUAAGCGGAGGA